GGAUUUUGUAUGUAAACAAUCUGCAAUAUUUUGCAAUAUCUUUUUUUUUUGCUCUUUGUGUGUGGUAUUGUUUUGGUAGUAAUAAGAGCAUUGAAAAGUUGAAAGCUCAAGAGAAUAAAUCGACUUUCGGUGUCGGUCGGUGAUGGAGGUAUUUUUCCCGCGUUUUGCAGUUAGAGACGUCGGUUAUUUAUUCGAUUAUGAUAUAAAUGGAUUUCUAGGAACUUCUUGCGAUUUGUUUUAUCGUCGAUAUUGUUCAGCUCAUAUAUCAUAGAAAAAAACCCGAAGCUGUAACUGUAAAAAUAACCAUAAGCCACCGAUUAAUUUAUAAUUUACAGUUUACAAUUCUUCCGCAAGUGCAUUUAUUUCACAAUUGUGUAUAUGCGUAACCAUUAUAUUUAGUGAACAACUAAACGAAUGUCAAACAUUUGUACUUUACUUUUGCACGUAUGAAUCUAACGACGAGUAUAUCGACGAAUAAUAUAUGAAUCCAUUCAAUCCGGUGACAAAAGGACUAAAAUCAAAUAAGAAUAGUCCGAAAAUGAUAUUAUGCAUUAUAUUUAAUAAAUAUCCCACGCCACUGACAUUAAUUUAUACAUUUCAUUGAACAAUAUUCUAAAAUAGGAAAAACAAGUCACUUGUCCAAAAAAGUUACUCCUGUACGCGCGUCGGUGUCUCAGACCGAAGGGGGUGAAAAAGUGACAUACGUCCCCUUCGUACCAACUUAUACGAUACGCUAAACGAUUAUGAACAACGACUGACGAAGUUAGAGAGAAUCGCAAUGUCGUAGUGUUGAUGUUUUCUGAGAAAUGAACGAAUUAUUGAUUUCUUGGUCUCUCAGACCUAUGCGCGAGUAUAGGAGUGUUAACCGUCAUGGUGUUUCGUCGAAAUUCUUUGGAUAUGCUAAAUCAUUUACGGUUGAACCAUAAAAAUGAUUCCCUGGUGGUGGAGGAGACUGGGAAGAAGAAUUUAGGGUCUGCAGGAGUAAAAUGCGGACUUAAAGAAGGUGGUCUCAGAUCCCGUUCUAAAAUAGUAGUAUUCAAAUUCAGAGUGCCGAGGAAAAUAUACCAUACUAGUGGUCAAUGAUUCUAUAAAUGUACCUCUUUUGAACAAGUAGCUAUAAGGACCAAUCAGAAAUAUUCAAACAAAUCAGCUAUUUCAUUCAACAUUCAAAGAACAGGUAAUUUUGAACAGAAAAAAAUUUAUGUUGGUACAAUAAUAAUAUUGUGCAUCAUUCUCAUUGUGUACUUUUUUUUUCAAUCGUCCUCAAAAAAUCAUGAAAUGGUAAAUUUAUCAAUAUACCAAAAUACCAUUUCAUUCAAAAACAAUUAUUUUGCA